GUCGCUAUAGCCAAGCGGUUACGGCGUUUGAUUAGAAAUCAAAUCCUCUUUGAGGGCGUAGGUUCGAGUCCUACUGGCGACG
rnacentral:tRNA from 1 species